GUAGGUGGCAAGCGUUGUCCGGAAUUAUUGGGCGUAAAGCGCGCGCAGGCGGUUUUUUAAGGUCUGAUGUGAAAGCCCACGGCUCAACCGUGGAGGGUCAUUGGAAACUGGAGAACUUGAGUACAGAAGAGGAAAGCGGAAUUCCACGUGUAGCGGUGAAAUGCGUAGAGAUGUGGAGGAACACCAGUGGCGAAGGCGGCUUUCUGGUCUGUAACUGACGCUGAGGCGCGAAAGCGUGGGGAGCAAACAGGAUUAGAUACCCUGGUAGUCCACGCCGUAAACGAUGAGUGCUAAGUGUUAGGGGGGUUUCCGCCCCUUAGUGCUGCAGCUAACGCAUUAAGCACUCCGCCUGGGGAGUACGGCCGCAAAGGCUG
rnacentral:rRNA from 1 species